rnacentral:rRNA from 1 species
UGCCAGACUCCUACGGGAGGCAGCAGUGAGGAAUAUUGGUCAAUGGGCGGGAGCCUGAACCAGCCAAGUCGCGUGAGGGAAGACGGUCCUACGGAUUGUAAACCUCUUUUGUCGGGGAGCAAAGAGGCCACGUGUGGUCAAAAGCGAGAGUACCCGAAGAAAAAGCAUCGGCUAACUCCGUGCCAGCAGCCGCGGUAAUACGGAGGAUGCGAGCGUUAUCCGGAUUUAUUGGGUUUAAAGGGUGCGUAGGCGGGACGGUAAGUCAGCGGUAAAAAUGCGGAGCUCAACUCCGUCGAGCCGUUGAAACUGGCGUUCUUGAGUGGGCGAGAAGUAUGCGGAAUGCGUGGUGUAGCGGUGAAAUGCAUAGAUAUCACGCAGAACCCCGAUUGUGAAGGCAGCAUGCCGGCUUCCGACUGACGCUGAAGCACGAAAGCGUGGGGAUCGAACAGGAUUAGAUACCCCGGUA